UUUAGUUCAAACCCCCGAAACUAAGUGAGCUACCCCGAGACAGCCUAUCAAUUAGGGCCAACCCAUCUCUGUGGCAAAAGAGUGGGAAGAGCUCCGGGUAGAGGUGACAAACCUACCGAACUUAGUUAUAGCUGGUUACCUAAGAAAUGAAUAAAAGUUCAGCCUCGCACUCCUUGCCUCACAAACAUCUAAAGCCUACACGAGCCAAAGAAAUAUGCGAGAGUUAGUCAAAGGGGGUACAGCCCCUUUGAAACAGGACACAACCUCACACAGGAGGUUAAAGAUUAUACUAAACAAGAUACACCGCUUUAGUGGGCCUAAAAGCAGCCACCUAAGCAGAUAGCGUUAAAGCUCCAGCGGACUAAAAAUCUAUUAUCCAAAUAAUUUAUCUAAAACCCCUAACAAUAUUAGGUCGCCCCAUGCCUACAUGGAAAAGAUACUGCUAAAAUGAGUAAUAAGAAGGAACCCCCUUCUCCUAGCCUACGUGUAUAUUAGAUCGGACCCCCCCACUAAUAAUUAUCGAACCCAACCAAAGAGGGUAAUGUGACCACACUAAACAACAAGAAAACAUCACACCACCAAAUCGUUAAUCCCACACCGGAAGGCCCACAAGGAAAGACUAAAAGAAAAGGAAGGAACUCGGCAAACCCAAGCCUCGCCUGUUUACCAAAAACAUCGCCUCCUGCAAAAUCAAUGUAUAGGAGGUCCUACCUGCCCAGUGACAAGUUAAACGGCCGCGGUAUUUUGACCGUGCGAAGGUAGCGCAAUCACUUGUCUUUUAAAUGAAGACCUGUAUGAAUGGUGGAACGAGGGCUUAACUGUCUCCCUUUUCCAGUCAAUGAAAUUGAUCUGCCCGUGCAGAAGCGGACAUAUUAAUACAAGACGAGAAGACCCUUUGGAGCUUAAGAUAAAAGAUCAACUAUGUCAAGAAACUAAGAACAUAGCUUAAACUAAGUAGCGACUGAUCCUUGUCUUCAGUUGGGGCGACUGCGGAAGAAAACAAAGCUUCCACGAGGAUUGGGACAAAUAUCCUAAAGCCGAGAAAGACACUUCUAAGCCACAGAACAUCUGACCAUAUAAGAUCCGGCCACCAGCCGAUCAACGGACCAAGUUACCCUAGGGAUAACAGCGCAAUCCCCUUUCAGAGUUCAUAUCGACAAGGGGGUUUACGACCUCGAUGUUGGAUCAGGACAUCCUAAUGGUGCAGCCGCU
rnacentral:rRNA from 1 species